UUUGGAUGUAAAAUAUAUUUAACCUAAGUAGUACUAGUUAAGGUCUUGAAACUUAAAGAAUUUGGCGGUAUUUUAGUCUAUUUAGAGGAAUCUGUCCCUUAAUCGAUAGUCCACGUUGUACCUUACCAAAAUUUAUGUAUGUAUACCGCCGUUAUCAAUGAGAAUCUUUAUAGAGUUUAAUAAUUUUCUGGGUUUAUUUUUAAAAAUUAUUUCAGGUCAAGGUGCAGUUUAUGUUUUGGUGGAGAUGGAUUACAUUUAAAUUAAUUAUUGGAUUAUUUUUUGCAAAUUGGAAUAUGAAACUGGAUUUAAUUGUAAUUUUUUGUAGAUUAUAAUUUUGAUUUUAGCUCUAUAAUAUGU
rnacentral:rRNA from 1 species